rnacentral:rRNA from 1 species
GACGAACGCUGGCGGCGUGCUUAACACAUGCAAGUCGAACGCUGAAGCUCAGCUUUUGUUGGGUGGAUGAGUGGCGAACGGGUGAGUAACACGUGAGUAACCUGCCUCCUUCUUUGGGAUAACGCCCGGAAACGGGUGCUAAUACUGGAUAUUCACUGGUCUUCGCAUGGGGGUUGGUGGAAAGGGUUUUUCUGGUGGGGGAUGGGCUCGCGGCCUAUCAGCUUGUUGGUGGGGUGAUGGCCUACCAAGGCUUUGACGGGUAGCCGGCCUGAGAGGGUGACCGGUCACAUUGGGACUGAGAUACGGCCCAGACUCCUACGGGAGGCAGCAGUGGGGAAUAUUGCACAAUGGGCGCAAGCCCGAUGCAGCGACGCCGCGUGAGGGAUGGAGGCCUUCGGGUUGUGAACCUCUUUCGCUCAUGGUCAAGCCGCAACAAUGGUUGUGGUGGGGGUAGUGGGUAAAGAAGCGCCGGCUAACUACGUG